ensembl:lncRNA
GCAGAAACAGAAUAAACAGGUCUUGCCAAAUUCCCCCUGUAACCAGCCACCAUUAGCAUUAGAUCACACUGUAACCAGUUUUCUCUCUCUGCACUCUUGUCAUGAGGAUAACAAAGAAUGAAGCCAACAGGACAGAGGAAAUUCAGUCCAUGGUCAGCUGGUUCCAAGGUAGAAACAUCAUGACUAAAGGGCAUGAUAAAGCAAAGCUGCUUAGUUCAUAGCAGCAGAAAAGCAGCGCAGGGGAACAGAGCCACAGAGGAAGGGGCAAGAGACCAGAUAUAGAUUCCAAGGCCAUGUCUCCAUAACCCACCUAGACACUCCCAGAAAUGUGUUUUACUAUUUCUCUGAGCAGCUCUCAGACAAUUAAGUUGACCAUCCCUCUUAAUGUUCCAGGUACCUUGGAGAAAUGACUAGAAUCUCCAGUCAUUGUCCUAUUGUCACCUCAGAUUGUAGGAAAAGCAGAGCCUUGCAGACCACACCAGGAUGAGGUCACCCUACUCCCAAGUGGGAGCAAUUACCCCAUGUCAACGUAAGCAAGAACCACAGUCAUCCCACAGUGGGAACUAAAUUGCCUUCUCAAGUGAUGACCUCUCUCCCAGAACCUCACAGAACCAAUUCUGCAAUAACAAUCCACCAGAUCAACCAGAAUUAUCCACCUUGCUAACUAUGCAACUUCCCAACCCUUACCUUUGUUCCUUUUUUCUAUAAACCUCCAAUAUUUCUAUUAGCAUCUGAAAGACCAUGCACCUCUUUAGUCAUCCUUCCCAACAUGGCCUUGCUGAUUUUCUGCCCUUCAUCACUGUUCGCCUCCUACAUUAGUAUUUUGGGAAAAGCAGCCAAUCCUAGUCUAUUGGGACCCCUGGAGCCAGAGCUUAUGCCAUAAAACUCUGGUAAUACCCUUUCUCACCAUCCAAUCAACAAGCAGUCUCUCUCUUAUCUCUCCUUAUAGUUUCCCCAGC